UCCAUGGUUUAAGACACUGACUGGCACAAAGUAAGACUCAUAAAUUAUUUUUCAGACAUUGAUUCAUUGCUUUUAUCAAUUUGUUUAUUUUAACAGCUGGUACCAUCCAUAGUAAACUCUAAAAUGAAAGACAAGAUGUGCUUGUGGCAUUUAGGACAGUGGCUGACAUAUAAUAAGCACUAAAAUACCUGUUAUCUUGCUGCUACCACAGAAGAGAGAAAGGCUCAAAUGGAUCACUUCUGCUCAAGCAAGAGAGAAAAGAUCAUGAAACUGAGACCCAAGCAGAUGAAGUUACUUAUACAAGGUGACACAACAAGGAAGGACCAAAACCAGCACUCAAACCCAGAUUUUCCAGCUUUCAUCUGACGGGGCUAAGAGACAGGCUGGCUGAUUAUUGUUCCUGCUUUUGUGAAAUAAUCUUGCCAGGGGCAAAAUCUGCUGCUCUGAACUUCCCGAGUAGACUGCAAUUAACUUUCACCGGGUACUUUAGCAGAGACAUGCGACUAUCAGGUCACAAAUGAUGUAAAACCUCCUCUUUUGAAUCUGUUUUUACCACCUUCCGAAUAAAGAAUUUAAUCUUGG
rnacentral:lncRNA from 1 species